UCGCUGUGCCAUGAAAACAUUU
rnacentral:miRNA from 1 species